GAAGUGGGCUGGACGAUCGCUGCCAACGUGAGUUGGGAGAGGAAGGUCCGGACUCCGCAGGGUAGGGUGACGGCUAACGGCCGUACGCAGCAAGUGGGUUUCGGCCCACCCAAGGCGAGGAACAGGGCCACAGAGACGAGUAAUCAGCCGGCCAAGGGCAUGGCUGAGGAUGUGAAACGCGGUAACCUCCACCCGGAGCAACACCAAGUAGGCGCGCGAGAGGCUUGUCCUUGAAAAGGUGUCCCGCCUGAUGCGCGCGGGUAGGUGGCUUGAGCCCAUUAGCAAUGAUGGGCCUAGAUGGAUGAUCGUCAUAGGGCCGGCUUUUUGGUCGGCCCCGUAACAGAAUCCGGCCUACAGGCCCACUUCCGUU
rnacentral:RNase_P_RNA from 1 species